AGCCGGCAUCUCAGACAGACCACAUGACAGACUCUGACAGGAUCCAGAGCUGCAGAAGGGAGGUGGUGGCCAGGGAGUUGGGUGAGCUGCUCUACAACAAGUCCGAGUACAUGGAGACGGCAUCUGGGAACAAAGUUAGCUGCCAGUCAGAGCUGUGUGGAAGCCAGAACAUCGUUCUUAGUGGCAAGACCAUUGUGAUAAAUGACUGCAUUAUCCGAGGGGAUCUGGCAAAUUUAAGAGUUGGACGCCAUUGUGUUGAGAAGAGUCGUAGUGUCAUAAGGCCACCAUUCAAGAAAUUCAGUAAAGGCAUUGCAUUCUUUCCAUUACAUAUUGGGGACCAUGUCUUUAUUGAGGAAGAUUGUGUGGUCAACGCAGCUCAGAUUGGUUCCUACGUUCAUGUUGGCAAGAACUGUGUGAUUGGGCACCAGUGUGUGUUAAAAGACUGCUGCAAAAUUCUUGACAACACAGUAUUACCUCCAGAAACUGGGGUCCCACCAUUCACUGUCUUCUCAGGCUGCCCAGGACUCUUCUCAGGGAAGCUUCCCGACUGUACUCAGGAGCUGAUGAUCGACGUCACCAAGAGCUACUACCAGAAAUUUUUGCCCCUGACACAAGUGUAGUGUCUCUGUCUCAUGUCUUGAUUUGCUUGAGCUCUAAAAUGAACCUGGGGACAAAGUAAGCCAGUCAGCAUCUACAAAGAACUCUGUGUUUUUGACACCUUCCACUCUCCUCCUUUUAAUAACAUUCUUUAGAAUGUCUCAACCUUUCAAGCAUCCAAGCUCCUAAGAAUUUAAUAACAGAAGAGCUGGAGGAGUUGUCUUCAACUGCUGUGCUUAUACCUUAUCUAUUAACAGUCACUUCAUACCAUUAUCUGUGGUACACAAAGUCAUCUGUUCCCAACACUCCCACCCCUUGGUCCUGUGGAUGA